AAAAAGGGCAUUUACCGUCACUGGUACUCAGGCUGCUUUGCGGCCUGGGCGGAAUCGCCAUCCAGGGAUUUCGGAUGCAUAAUAUUUGGGGACUGAGGCUGUUGGUUGCCACUAGCACCGACGCCCAC